GCCUGGGUGGCUCAGUCGGUUGAGCAUCCGACUUCAGCUCAGGUCGUGAUCUCGCGGUCCGCGAGUUCGAGCCCCGCGUCAGGCU
rnacentral:tRNA from 1 species